UACGGAGGGGGUUAGCGUUGUUCGGAAUUACUGGGCGUAAAGCGCGCGUAGGCGGAUUGGAAAGUUGGGGGUGGAAAUCCCCGGGGCUCAACCCCCGGAACCUGCCUCCAAAACUACCCAGUCUGGAGUUCGAGAGAGGUGAGUGGAAUUCCGAGUGUAGAGGUGAAAUUCGUAGAUAUUCGGAGGAACACCAGUGGCGAAGCGGCUCACUGGCUCGAUACUGACGCUGAGGUGCGAAAGUGUGGGGAGCAAACAGGAUUAGAUACCCGCGUAGU
rnacentral:rRNA from 1 species